CCUACGGGAGGCAGCAGUGGGGGAUAUUGGACAAUGGGGGGAACCCUGAUCCAGCGACGCCGCGUGAGUGAAGAAGUAUUUCGGUAUGUAAAGCUCUGUCAGCAGGGAAGAAAGAAAUGACGGUACCUGACCAAGAAGCCCCGGCUAACUACGUGCCAGCAGCCGCGGUAAUACGUAGGGGGCAAGCGUUAUCCGGAAUUACUGGGUGUAAGGGGAGCGUAGACGGUUAAGUAAGUCUGGAGUGAAAGGCCGGGGCCCAACCCCGGGACUGCUCUGGAAACUAUUGAACUUGAGUGCAGGUGAGGUAAGCGGAAUGCCUAGUGUAGCGGUGAAAUGCGUAGAUAUUAGGAGGAACACCAGUUGCGAAGGCGGCUUACUGGACUGUAACUGACGUUGAGGCUCGAAAGCGUGGGGAGCAAACAGGAUUAGAUACCCGGGUAGUC
rnacentral:rRNA from 1 species